AGAGUUGUAGCUCAGUGGUAGAGCACUUGCCUGGCAUGUGUGAGGCUCUGAGUUGAAUCCUCAGCACCACUU
rnacentral:tRNA from 1 species